rnacentral:rRNA from 1 species
AUUACUGGGCGUAAAGGGUCUGUAGGUGGUUUGUUAAGUCAGAUGUGAAAGCCCAGGGCUCAACCUUGGAACUGCAUUUGAUACUGGCAAACUAGAGUAUGGUAGAGGAAUGGGGAAUUUCUGGUGUAGCGGUGAAAUGCGUAGAGAUCAGAAGGAACACCAAUGGCGAAGGCAACAUUCUGGACCAAUACUGACACUGAGGGACGAAAGCGUGGGGAUCAAACAGGAUUAGAUACCCUGGUAGUCCACGCUGUAAACGAUGAGUACUAGCUGUUGGAUUCGGUGUAAAGGAUCUAGUGGCGUAGCUAACGCGUUAAGUACUCCGCCUGGGGACUACGGCCGCAAGGCUAAAACUCAAAGGAAUUGACGGGGACCCGCACAAGCGGUGGAGCAUGUGGUUUAAUUCGAUGCAACGCGAAGAACCUUACCUGGUCUUGACAUCCUGCGAACUUUCUAGAGAUAGAUUGGUGCCUUCGGGAACGCAGUGACAGGUGCUGCACGGCUGUCGUCAGCUCGUGUUGUGAAAUGUUGGGUUAAGUCCCGCAACGAGCGCAACCCCUAUUGAUAGUUACCAUCAUUAAGUUGGGUACUCUAUUGAGACUGCCGCUGACAAGGCGGAGGAAGGUGGGGACGACGUCAAGUCAUCAUGGCCCUUACGACCAGGGCUACACACGUGCUACAAUGGGUAUUACAGAGGGCAGCGAAGUAGCGAUAUGGAGCGAAACUCAGAAAGGUACUCUUAGUCCGGAUUGCAGUCUGCAACUCGACUGCAUGAAGUCGGAAUCGCUAGUAAUCGCAGGUCAGAAUACUGCGGUGAAUACGUUCCCGGGUCUUGUACACACCGCCCGUCACACCAUGGGAGUGGGUUGCUCCAGAAGUAGAUAGCUUAACGAAUGGGCGUUAC